AACAGUCGCUCGGUUUGAGCUCAAAUAAAUGCAGGGAUGCCUCGGCUGGGAGCAGUCCGCCGCCUCCCUCCGAGCGCAGGACGCUCCGACGCCCGCUUGCCCGCAGGCCACCGCAGACUGGGAAUUACACAGCAAGAUGGCUUUCCCUACUCCAUCGUGGCUAGAGCCUCUGCAAGGGCUGAAGCCCUUUGAUCUUGGCUUCAUUUGGAUACAUUUCAAGGUGUGCACACAUGGCUCAGCCUUCUGCAAACUUUUGGCCAAGGGAGAAAGCUCAGAGCUUGGCUGAUAUGCUGGACUCCCCAAAGUCUCCAGGUCUCCAGGGACGGUGCCUGUAACUUACCUGAAGAGGAACUGGUAGACAAGUCAUCUGAAAACAACUGAGGAAUCCUGCCCUGACCUAUCAGCUGUCUGCUGCCUCCCAACUCUUGCAGCCUUGGGAGAGGCACAUUCACUUGGAAAUGUGAUGAACAGGUGUCCAUUUACUUUGGAUUCAGGCCAAAGAGUCAAGCCAAUGUCAUUUGUAAGGCACAAUCAUUUUAAGUUCAGACCCAUGAAGAUCUUUUCUUGUACUUUUGUCUGAAUUAGAGAAACAACUUAAGCUGU
rnacentral:lncRNA from 1 species